AUACUGGCCGGAGACCGAUAGCGCACAAGUAGAGUGAUCGAAAGAUGAAAAGCACCUUGAAAGGAGAGUUAAACAGCACGUGAAAUUGUUGAAAGGGAAGCGCUUGCGACCAGACUCGCCCGCGGGGUUCAGCCGGCAUUCGUGCCGGUGUACUUCCCCGUGGGCGGGCCAGCGUCGGUUUGGGCGGCCGGUCAAAGGCCCCUGGAAUGUAGUGCCCUCCGGGGCACCUUAUAGCCAGGGGUGCAAUGCGGCCAGCCUGGACCGAGGAACGCGCUUCGGCACGGACGCUGGCAUAAUGGUCGUAAACGACCCGUCUUGAAACACGGACC
rnacentral:rRNA from 1 species